rnacentral:rRNA from 1 species
UUGAACGCUGGCGGCAUGCCUUACACCUGCAAGUCGAACGGCAUCGCGGGAAAGCUUGCUUUCCUGGCGGCGAGUGGCGAACGGGUGAGUAACACAUCGGAACGUACCGGCUAGUGGGGGAUAACCCGUCGAAAGACGGGCUAAUACCGCAUACGCUCUUCGGAGGAAAGCAGGGGACCUUUGGGCCUUGCGCUAGCCGAGCGGCCGAUGUCCGAUUAGCUAGUUGGUGGGGUAAAGGCCUACCAAGGCGACGAUCGGUAGCGGGUCUGAGAGGACGAUCCGCCACACUGGGACUGAGACACGGCCCAGACUCCUACGGGAGGCAGCAGUGGGGAAUCUUGGACAAUGGGGGCAACCCUGAUCCAGCAAUGCCGCGUGGGUGAAGAAGGCCUUCGGGUUGUAAAGCCCUUUCGGCAGGGAAGAAAUCGGCGGGGCGAAUAACCCUGCUGGAUGACGGUACCUGCAGAAGAAGCACCGGCUAACUACGUG